AAACCAUGGUGCGGGCACUCUCUCUGCAAGUCCUUGAAUCUCUCCCAGAACUCGAACAAACUCUCAUCUGCUUGUUGUGAGAUUGUUUACACAAAUUUUCUAGUCU